rnacentral:rRNA from 1 species
UAGGGAAUCUUCCGCAAUGGACGCAAGUCUGACGGAGCAACGCCGCGUGAGUGAAGAAGGAUUUCGGUUCGUAAAACUCUGUUGUUAGAGAAGAACAGCGCAUAGAGUAACUGUUAUGCGUGUGACGGUAUCUAACCAGAAAGCCACGGCUAACUACGUGCCAGCAGCCGCGGUAAUACGUAGGUGGCAAGCGUUGUCCGGAUUUAUUGGGCGUAAAGCGAGCGCAGGCGGUCAAUUAAGUCUGAUGUGAAAGCCCCCGGCUCAACCGGGGAGGGUCAUUGGAAACUGGUUGACUUGAGUGCAGAAGAGGGGAGUGGAAUUCCAUGUGUAGCGGUGAAAUGCGUAGAUAUAUGGAGGAACGCCAGUGGCGAAGGCGACUCUCUGGUCUGUAACUGACGCUGAGGCUCGAAAGCGUGGGUAGCAAACAGG